CUACGGAGGGUGCAAGCGUUGUUCGGAAUUAUUGGGCGUAAAGAGCAUGUAGGCGGACUGUUAAGUCUGGUGUGAAAGCCCGGGGCUCAACCCCGGAAGUGCAUUGGAUACUGGCAGUCUUGAGUAUGGGAGAGGAAAGUGGAAUUCCGAGUGUAGGAGUGAAAUCCGUAGAUAUUCGGAGGAGCACCAGUGGCGAAGGCGGCUUUCUGGACCAAUACUGACGCUGAGAUGCGAAAGCGUGGGGAGCGAACAGGAUUAGAUACCCCAGUAGUCC
rnacentral:rRNA from 1 species